ensembl:snoRNA
AGCAUUUCUGUUUCUGUUUAACUUGUGGACAAAGACAUAUAGACAGGUGCAAAAUGAAAUCCUCUUUUGCAAAUCAGAGGUACUGAUCAUACUCAUUGAUCAGUAUGAGCUACACAUAAAAAAGAAUAUG